rnacentral:rRNA from 1 species
CAGCCGCCGCGGUAAUACGUAGGGGGCGAGCGUUGUCCGGAAUUAUUGGGCGUAAAGCGCGCGCAGGCGGUCCCUUAAGUCUGAUGUGAAAGCCCACGGCUCAACCGUGGAGGGUCAUUGGAAACUGGGGGACUUGAGUGCAGAAGAGGAGAGCGGAAUUCCACGUGUAGCGGUGAAAUGCGUAGAGAUGUGGAGGAACACCAGUGGCGAAGGCGGCUCUCUGGUCUGUAACUGACGCUGAGGCGCGAAAGCGUGGGGAGCAAACAGGAUUAGAGACCCUGGUAGUCCACGCCGUAAACGAUGAGUGCUAAGUGUUAGAGGGGUUAAACCCUUUAGUGCUGUAGCUAACGCGUUAAGCACUCCGCCUGGGGAGUACGGCCGCAAGGCUGAAACUUAAAGGAAUUGGCGGG